UUAUGGUCAUAUCACGUUGGAAAACCUGUUCUUAUACGAUCACCAAAGUUAAGCAACAUUGAGCCUGGUCAGUACCUAGAUGGGUAACCGCUUGGGAAUACCAGGUGCUGUAAG